AACGAGCCCUCGAUUUGUGUCCAUCCGAUCGACUCGCAUCGACGCGUUCCGUGCCUGAUCAUUCCGACAGCUUCCAUCUGAGGGUCCCACAAAACGCUCCCUGUCGUCACUUGCUUGCUCCCGCACGCGCAUCUCUUCCAUCGAUCCCCUUUCUCUCAGCCGCUCGCCGCGGCAGUAGUGGCCCUCGCCGCCGCCUCAGAGGAGCCGCGCCGCCGCCAGUGUUCUAGUCUCUGCAGACGAAGCCCCGAAAUCAAGCGCCAUGCUCCGAAUUCAAGCGUCCGCAAGCUAUCCCCAAAUCCCCUGCCGCACCAGCCGCUUCCGUCUCUCGCCUCCUGCUUCCCGCGGCCGCAUCGGGCCCGGUGUUGCUCAUCCCCACCCCAUGAGUUGGAGCACUACCUCAUCGCGGAAGCACUCCCACAGAUCUGGAGGUGUGGUGCUGGAGCGGUCCAAACCAGCAGCCCUACUACUGGCCUGCUGGUGACCUGCCCGACGAUGCCGGCGACUCGUGUAGAGAAUACGGGGAAGGUCACACAGGUGCAGUUCAUGGGGUAGUGGCUGACGAUGACGAGGAGUUCCCUCAGCAAUCGGAGUGGCUCCCGUCCCAUGAAUUCUCAAUGGGGAUACUGAAGCCACUUUCAAAGUUCUGAGCGCUUGAGGGCACGGGAUGGUCGAUGACUAGAAUGACGAAUUACAUAUACAUUUUCGUCGAUGCAUAUUAUGCUUUGGUUUCACUUAGAUUAGGAGAACAAUGACAUAACAGAGUUGUCUAGCUCCACUCAUGGUUUGUUUCUUUGUGCUUUGCCCAGGUUUGGUUUAGUUGCUAUCCCCGCUAAUUUAGUUUGGUUUCUAAAUAUCCAUGAACAAGGGUUGUUCAUCGAACUUACUAAAUUGUUUAGCCACUUUAGUUUAAAUUGUUUUUGCACAUCCGUGGAGUAGGGGUUGUUGAUUUGUUUCACUGCUCAAUCAUCAAACUAUUAAUUUUUUUAUCCCUUUAAUUAAGUUGGUCAACCACCUCGGAUAAUUUACCUAAUGAUCACUAUUAAGUUGUUUUUCACCCAUCCAUGGGUUAGGGGGUUGACGUUCUUGUCUGACCAGGGGAAUCAUCCACAUGAUAAGUUUGUUUAGCCUACUAAUUAAAUUGAGCAGCCAUUUUUAGUCUAGUUACUUAAUGAUCAUUAUUAAGUUGUCUUUUUUCUUGGCUUAGACACACACACAAAAAUAUCAUUCCCUUAGUACUUCAGUGUGAUAUUAGAGAUUAGCGUUCAACCAUUUUGAGGUGUGUGAAGUAAUCGAGUUGGUGUCCUCACUUCCCAAGACAAAUCUCCUAAAUUGCUACCGAGUGUAGGACUAUGUUGCUUCACGUAUGGGCCAAGUAGCUUACACAAUGUCGAUUCAUAGUAUUCUAUUGCUAAAUUGCUUUUUCAUAUAGUAAUUUUUUGCUUUCAAAGGUAUACUAAGUUGAUUUCAUGCUACAUAUAAUUGUACUGAUAUCCUAUUUUCCCAAUUGAAGUCUUGAUAUGCAAAGUUUCAGUGUGAGGGGUGGGGUACUGUUUUGGUGGUAAAGAAUGAUGAGACAAAGAAUAGUAGUACAUGCUACUGGCAUAUGUUAAGUUUCUUUCCACUUAUCUCAAUACUGAUUAGUUGCUUCCAAGUUUAAAGAAAAUUGAUUUCUCUGCACCAUACAGUACUUGGUGCUUUCUCUAUGUUGCAGCUUAUAUUACAUUGUUGCUUCAUACAUACACUAAGUUGCUUUCACAUAUUGCUUGAACCAUGCUUGAAGUUUCUCGAUCACAUUUGACAGAUAGAGAUCCAUAGUUGCAGUAGGGACAAUGUAGAUUUGAAUGGCGAUUUCUGAUUAGUUGUUUGUUAAAAAAAAUUCAUGCAACCGAGUUUGGGUACAUAUUUUCCACCUAGUUGUAUUUACUGUACCCCUUAGUUCCAACAGGGAUGAUGUAAGGUUUGUAUGGUGAUUUCUAGGUUUUUUUUUUCCCUCAAAUCCAUGCUUCCAAGUUUGGGUACAUGAAUUUCCAUCUAGUUGUGUUUUACUCUAGCCUAAGUUGCAAUAGAGAUGAUGUAGAAUUGUAUGGUGAUUUAUAAUUAGUUGUUUUUUUAUGAAAUCCCCACAACCAAGUUUGGGUACAUGAGUUUCAUCUAGUUGUAUUUAUUGUACCCCUUAGUUGUUGCGGGAAUGAUAUUAAGUUGUAUGGUGAUUUCUGGGUUUUUAUUUUUCCUUAAAUCCAUGCAUCCAAGUUUGGGUACAUGGUUUUCAUCUAGUUGUAUUUACUGUACCCCUUAGUUGUUGUAGGAAUAAUGUUAAGUGGUAUGGUGAUUUCUAGGUUUUUAUUUUUCCUUAAAUACAUGCAUCCAAGUUUGGGUACAUGAUUUUUAUCUAGUUGUAUUUACUGUACCCCUUAGUUGUUGUAGGAAUAAUGUUAAGUUAUAUGGUGAUUUCUAGGUUUUUAGUUUUCCUCAAAUCCAUGAAUCCAACUUUGGGUACAUGAUUUUCCAUCUAGUUGUUUUUUUGCUCUAGCCUAAUUUGCAAUAGCGAUGAUGUAGAAUUGUAUGGUGAUUUAUAAUUAGUUGUUUUUUAUGAAAUACCCACAACCAAGUUUGGAUACAUGAUUUUCAUCUAGUUGUAUUUACUAUACCCAUUAGAGCAUCUCUAACCGAACCCGUCAACCCCGUCGGAACGGAACUUUUCUGGCGGAUUUACGGGUUCGGGCCGAAAGCGCUAUAGACCAGAGCCCGAAACGGUGGCCCGGCCCGUAAAAGUUUCUCGGGCGCGAGGCUCGCCUCGUAUUAAAACGGGCCGCGGAGGGGAGUUCGGUUUCCAAACCCUACUCCCCUCCGCCGCUGCCGCCCGCUCCGCCGCUGCCGCCCGCUCCGCCGCCUCGUUCCACCUCCUUCAACAAGCAAUCGUCACCUUGCCAGCGCUGCUUCACCGUUGCUCCACCUCCCCAUGGCUAACCGUGGUAGCUCCGCUAGGGGAGGCGGUGGUUUGGGUGGCGGGGAAUCACCGUCGCGGCCCCUCGUUUUCCGCACGGAGGUGGAGCGGUGCAAAUUCAACCGGUCGGAGCUACACCUCGCGGGGUUGGCUGCCACAAAGACAACAAAUUGUUCUUCGGACGUCUUCUAAGUUGUAUUUUUAUCGGCGGUAUUAUUGGUUCCGCAUGUGAGCUAAGUUGUAAUUUUGCAUAAUAAAUUUUAGACUCACGCGUUUGCUAAGUUGUAUACUCAUUAUUACUAAUUUGUAUACCCUACUGCAAA